GUCAUUAUUGUUUAAAGAGAUAUUAUCUAGUCUGUGCAGUAUUUAUUUAAAAUAUGCUAAUUUUUGUUAGUGAGAAUGACUAGAUUGAUAAGUUAUAAUAGCAUAAGUUUCCGUAGGUUUUAUAUAAUUAUUAAUUUUAAAUCUAUUAUUGAUUAUUUGGUGCAUGGUUAAACUACCGACCCGCAAAAGUUAUAUAAGUCCUGCUCGUGAACGCGACACGGCAGUUAAGCAGUUCGCGGGCUGUAUUCAAAUUUAAAAUGUGGCGGUUUAAAACAGGACGUUACAAGGUAAUUAAUAUCACAAUAUUAGUA